rnacentral:rRNA from 1 species
UACGUAGGGUCCGAGCGUUGUCCGGAAUUAUUGGGCGUAAAGGGCUCGUAGGCGGUCUGGUGCGUCGGGAGUGAAAACUUACAGCUUAACUGUGAGCGUGCUUUCGAUACUGGCAGACUUGAGGCAUUCAGGGGAGAACGGAAUUCCUGGUGUAGCGGUGAAAUGCGCAGAUAUCAGGAGGAACACCAGUGGCGAAGGCGACUACCUGCCCUGUUCUUGACGCUGAGGCGCGAAAGCUAGGGGAGCAAACGGG